rnacentral:rRNA from 1 species
GUGUUGUGUGUGUGUUCAAGGGCGCACGGUGGAUGCCUUGGCAUGGAAGGCCGAUGAAGGACGUGAGAGGCUGCGUUAAGCCUCGGGGAGCUGCCAACUGAGCGUUGAUCCGAGGGUGUCCGAAUGGGGAAACCUGGCCGUCGUUAUGGGCGGUCGCCCGCAUCUGAAUUCAUAGGGUGCGUGGUGGUGACGCGGGGAAGUGAAACAUCUCAGUACCCGCAGGAAGAGAAAACAAUUGUGAUUCCGUUAGUAGUGGCGAACGAACGCGGAUGAUGGCUAAACCGCGCGCGUGUGAUACCGGUCAGGGGUUGCGCGUGUGGUGUUGUGGGGCCGCCCGUGGUGGGAGCUGACUGUCCUGCCCGGGGUGUGGAUGUGUUAGCGGAAAGUGCGUGGAAUCGCCUGCCGUAGACGGUGAGAGCCCGGUACGUGAAAGCAUGUUCAUAUCCUGUGUGGCGUGAUCCCCGAGUAGCAGCGGGCUCGUGGAAUCCGCUGUGAAUCCGCCGGGACCACCCGGUAAGCCUGAAUACCUUCCGUGACCGAUAGCGGAUAGUACCGUGAGGGAAUGGUGAAAAGUACCCCGGGAGGGGAGUGAAAUAGUACCUGAAACCGUGUGCCUACAAUCCGUCAGAGCCUCCGUGUGGGGUGAUGGCGUGCCUUUUGAAGAAUGAGCCUGCGAGUCAGCGGCAUGUCGCGAGGUUAACCCUUUUGGUGGGGUAGCCGUAGCGAAAGCGAAUCCUAACGAGGGUGUUUUAGUGGCAUGUCCUGGACCCGAAGCGGGGUGAUCUACCCAUGGCCAGUGUGAAGCGAUGGUAAGACGUCGUGGAGGCGCGAACCCACUUAGGUUGAAAACUGAGGGGAUGAGCUGUGGGUAGGGGUGAAAGGCCAAUCAAACUCCGUGAUAGCUGGUUCUCCCCGAAAUGCAUUUAGGUGCAGCGUCGUGCGUUUCCUCCUGGAGGUAGAGCUACUGGUUGGUUUAGCGGGACUAUCAUCUUAGCGACAUCAGCCAAACUCCGAAUGCCGGUGAGGUCAGAGCACGGCAGUGAGACUGCGGGGGAUAAGCUUCGUAGUCGAGAGGGAAACAGCCCAGAUCGCCGGCUAAGGCCCCUAAGGGUAUGCUAAGUGGAAAAGGAUGUGGGAUCGCGAAGACAACCAGGAGGUUGGCUUAGAAGCAGCCACCCUUGAAAGAGUGCGUAAUAGCUCACUGGUCGAGUGGUCCCGCGCCGACAAUGUAGUGGGGCUCAAGCAUACCGCCGAAGCCGCGGCAGUGCGCCCUCGUGGCGUGCUGGGUAGGGGAGCGUCGUGUACGUGCUGUGAAGCCGCAGGGGUGACCCGUGGUGGAGCGUGCACGAGUGAGAAUGCAGGCAUGAGUAGCGAAUGAGGAGUGGAAACCUCCUCCGCCGAAUGACCAAGGGUUCCUGGGUCAAGCUAAUCUUCCCAGGGUGAGUCGGGACCUAAGGCGAGGCCGACAGGCGUAGUCGAUGGACAACGGGUUGAUAUUCCCGUACCCGUGAUAUCGCGCCCCUGGUGAAUCAGUGAUACUAACCCUCCUGAAGCGCAUCCGCCGCCGGCCCUUCGGGGCCGGCAUCCGCGGGCGCGUGGAUGCAGGGGACCUGAGCUGGUAGUAGCCAAGCGAUGGGGUGACGCAGGACGGUAGCCGUGCCACCGGAUGGAAGUGGUGGUGCAAGCGUGUAGCCCGCGGGCCAGGUAAAUCCGGCCCGCGCUUGAAGGGUGAGACGUGACGCGUACCCGUAGUGGGGACGUCGGUGAUCCGAUGCUGCCGAGAAAAGCCUCUAGCGAUGUGAUGUCAUGGCCCGUACCCCAAACCGACACAGGUGGUCAGGUAGAGAAUACCGAGGCGAUCGGGAUAACUGUGGUUAAGGAACUCGGCAAAAUGCCCCCGUAACUUCGGGAGAAGGGGGGCCGCGGCCGGUGACCCGCCUAGCGUGGCGAGCCGGCUUCGGCCGCAGAGAAUAGAGGGAAGCGACUGUUUACUAAAAACACAGGUCCGUGCGAAGACGGGUAAGUCGAGGUAUACGGACUGACGCCUGCCCGGUGCUGGAAGGUUAAGAGGACCUGUUAGAUCACGUAAGUGGUCGAAGCGGAGAAUUUAAGCCCCAGUAAACGGCGGUGGUAACUAUAACCAUCCUAAGGUAGCGAAAUUCCUUGUCGGGUAAGUUCCGACCUGCACGAAUGGCGUAACGACUUCCCUGCUGUCUCAACCACAGGCCCGGCGAAAUUGCAGUACGAGUAAAGAUGCUCGUUACGCGCGGCAGGACGAAAAGACCCCGGGACCUUCACUAUAGCUUGGCAUUGGUGUUCGGUUCGGUUUGUGUAGGAUAGGUGGGAGACUGUGAGGCGGCCACGCCAGUGGUCGUGGAGUCGUUGUUGAAAUACCACUCUGAUCGGAUUGGAUGUCUAACCUUGGCCCGUUAUCCGGGUCGGGGACAGUGCCUGGUGGGUAGUUUAACUGGGGCGGUUGCCUCCUAAAGAGUAACGGAGGCGCCCAAAGGUUCCCUCAGCCUGGUUGGCAAUCAGGUGUUGAGUGUAAGUGCACAAGGGAGCUUGACUGUGAGACUGACAGGUCGAGCAGGUACGAAAGUAGGGACUAGUGAUCCGGCACUGGCUUGUGGAAGCGGUGUCGCUCAACGGAUAAAAGGUACCCCGGGGAUAACAGGCUGAUCUUCCCCAAGAGUCCAUAUCGACGGGAUGGUUUGGCACCUCGAUGUCGGCUCGUCGCAUCCUGGGGCUGGAGUAGGUCCCAAGGGUUGGGCUGUUCGCCCAUUAAAGCGGCACGCGAGCUGGGUUUAGAACGUCGUGAGACAGUUCGGUCUCUAUCCGCCGCGCGCGUGGAAACUUGAGGAAGGCUGUCCCUAGUACGAGAGGACCGGGACGGACGUACCUCUGGUGUGCCAGUUGUCCCGCCAGGGGCAUGGCUGGUUGGCUACGUACGGAAGGGAUAACCGCUGAAAGCAUCUAAGCGGGAAGCCUGUUCCAAGAUCAGGUUUCUUUUGAGGUCCCCAGCAGACUACUGGGUUGAUAGGCCGGAUCUGGAAGCACCGCAAGGUGUGGAGGUGACCGGUACUAAUAGACCGACCACACCACAACCCCCCA